rnacentral:rRNA from 1 species
UACAGAGGUCUCAAGCGUUGUUCGGAUUCAUUGGGCGUAAAGGGUGCGUAGGUGGCGCGCUAAGUCAGGUGUGAAAUUUCGGAGCUCAACUCCGAAACUGCAUUUGAUACUGGCGUGCUUGAGGACUGGAGAGGAGACUGGAAUUCACGGGUGUAGCAGUGAAAUGCGUAGAUAUCGUGAGGAAGACCAGUGGCGAAGGCGGGUCUGCUGGACAGUCCUGACACUGAGGCACGAAGGCCAGGGGAGCAAACGGG